CAAGUUUAAUUUUAGCCUAAUAUAUAAGCCUACUUAUGGUAUAUAGAAUAUCCAAGUAAAACCCUAGCUAUCUAGUACAAAAAAUUUUUAUACCUGCUAAAUAAGAAAAGUAAGUAAAUGGCCCAUUAGGUGCCAGCAUUCGCGGUUACACCUAUAUUUAAUAUAUAAUUCGUGGUUUAGAGUUCAUUAUAUUUUAUAUAAAAUACAUAGAGGUAAAAUUCUAAAUUUUUUAUAACCAUAAAACAAAUCUUAUAAAUUAAAAUAAUAAACAGGGAUUAGAUACCCCUCUAUACAACAUAUAAACAAACCCAGGGUAAUAAUUGAUACGCCCAACAAACCCAAAGAAUUUGGCGGCAAUCAACCUUUCCAGAGAGACCUGUAAAUUAAUUUGACAAUCCACCCUAUACCCUACUCUAACUAAAACCUGCAUACCGUCAUUUAAAUUUUACUCUAAAGUAAACAUUUCCAAGGAAACGUACAUAUUAGAUCAACGCGCAGUAUAUAUUAGAGCUCAAUAUGGGUCUCAAUUUAAAAUAAAUAGAAAAGAUUUUAAAUAGUCUUGAAAAGAGGAUUUGGAUGUAAUAAAAUUUCAGAAUAAUUUUAUGAUUAAGCCAUUGAUUGUGUACAUAUCGCCCGUCGCCCUCGACACAAGAUAAGUCNUAACAUAGUAGGUGU
rnacentral:rRNA from 1 species